UACGUAGGGUGCAAGCGUUAAUCGGAAUUACUGGGCGUAAAGCGUGCGCAGGCGGUUGUGCAAGACAGAUGUGAAAUCCCCGGGCUCAACCUGGGAAUUGCAUUUGUGACUGCACGGCUAGAGUGUGUCAGAGGGGGGUAGAAUUCCACGUGUAGCAGUGAAAUGCGUAGAGAUGCGGAGGAAUACCGAUGGCGAAGGCAGCCCCCUGGGAUAACACUGACGCUCAUGCACGAAAGCGUGGGGAGCAAACAGG
rnacentral:rRNA from 1 species